GCCUUGCUAGCUCAGUUCGAUAAAGCAUGGUGCUAAUAAUGCCAAGGUUGCAGGUUCGAGCCCUGUAUGGGAUAGGGCA